UGGGAAUUUGGACAAUGGGCGAAGCCUGAUCCAGCAAUGCCGCGUGUGUGAAGAAGGCCUUCGGGUUGUAAAGCACUUUUGUCCGGAAAGAAAUCCUUGGCUCUAAUACAGUCGGGGGAUGACGGUACCGGAAGAAUAAGCACCGGCUAACUACGUGCCAGCAGCCGCGGUAAUACGUAGGGUGCAAGCGUUAAUCGGAAUUACUGGGCGUAAAGCGUGCGCAGGCGGUUUGCUAAGACCGAUGUGAAAUCCCCGGGCUCAACCUGGGAACUGCAUUGGUGACUGGCAGGCUAGAGUAUGGCAGAGGGGGGUAGAAUUCCACGUGUAGCAGUGAAAUGCGUAGAGAUGUGGAGGAAUACCGAUGGCGAAGGCAGCCCCCUGGGCCAAUACUGACGCUCAUGCACGAAAGCGUGGGGAGCAAACAGGAUUAGAUACCCUGGUAGUCCACGCCCUAAACGAUGUCAACUAGUUGUUGGGGAUUCAUUUCCUUAGUAACGUAGCUAACGCGUUAAAUCGACCGCCUGGGGAGUACGGCCGCAAGGUUAAAACUCAAAUGAAUUG
rnacentral:rRNA from 1 species